rnacentral:rRNA from 1 species
AAUCAACGCUGGCGGCGUGCCUAACACAUGCAAGUCGCACGAGGAAGGGGAGCAAUCCCUGAGUAAAGUGGCGCACGGGUGAGUAACACGUGACUAACCUACCUCCGAGUGGGGAAUAACUGAGAGAAAUCUUAGCUAAUACCGCAUAACACUUACGAGUCAAAGCAGCAAUGCGCUUGGAGAGGGGGUCGCGGCAGAUUAGUUAGUUGGCGGGGUAAUGGCCCACCAAGACGAUGAUCUGUAUCCGGCCUGAGAGGGCGCACGGACACACUGGAACUGAAACACGGUCCAGACUCCUACGGGAGGCAGCAGUGGGGAAUUUUGCGCAAUGGGGGAAACCCUGACGCAGCAACGCCGCGUGGAGGAUGAAAUAUCUUGGUAUGUAAACUCCUUUCGAUGGGGAAGAUUAUGACGGUACCCAUANAAGAAGCCCCGGCUAACUUCGUGCCA